AUUCUCAAUCUUUGCAUAAACUUUAAGUAUUAUCUUACUAUUACUAUUACUAUUACUUCAAUCAAUAUAGUUCGGGUACUUUUACUAUACUCCAAAUAAGAUUUUCUAAUAACUCAUAUUACGAUUUUAUAUCCUACAAAGAUAAGGCAUUGAGACAAGCCUUUAAGACUCACAUGGAGUCAAAAUUUGCCUUCUCCAUGCCCACCAACUUUAUGAGACAAGAAUGAACGUGACUAAAAAGGAGGAAGUAAUCAUUAAAGAAGUCCAAAUUCACAAAAGUGGACUUUCUCUCAUAAAGACACAACCUUCAAUACCUCCUGACAAAAUGAAAGUUACAACGAAGACUCAUGUCAUAAUGAGAGCAUGUGAAUAAAAGAUGUCUUUUUGCAUUUUGGUGGUGGGAUAAGACUUUGGGACCAAUAGGUCUUGGGUUCGAUUCCCACAGGGGGGGGGGAGGGGUUCCCAUAAAUAUUUUGUUUCCUCCUGAAUUGGUGUAUAGGCAUUUUGCCUAGUGGAGAUGGAUAUGAUCGGAUGGUUCCACUGGUGGCACGAUGAUACUCCAGGGGUUCGUCAGUGAUCCAAAUUUGCCGUUCAAAAAAAAAAGGAAAAGACCUGAAGCUUAUCUAGAAAAGAAGGCUAUAAAAAGAGGAGGAAGGAAGGAUGAAAGACAUCAAGCUUCAACAAAUCUUUAAAAAAAGUUUUCUAUGUACUAAAAGGAAACGAAAGCAGGUUGUGCUGGAUAUUGCUGAAGGAUCCAAAGGGAGUUACCUAAGACCUCUUAGGUUUGGUGUGAAAGAACCUAGUAAAAAGACCGGUGAUUUAACCCGGCAAUAUUUUGGUCAAAACGGCAAAAAGGGGCGGCUCUUAUGGUGUGCGGGGAGGACUUUCGCACAAGGCCCGUGAUUUCGAGGGGCACGGGAUUUUAAAAAAAUUCGAUAUAUAUAUAUAUAUAGCACUAUUGUAGACAUGCAAUUAGAAAAUGGCAGAUCUACCAACAUCCUCUUCUUCUUCUUCUGAACCAAGUAUCAAGCAGGUUUUGAGGAAAAGGAUUCAGCAACAGAUUCAAGAGGAUCAAUCUUGUCAAGAGAUGUUGGAGGCCAACAUUUCUCGUGUAACGGAAAACAUGAAGAGAAGACAAGAAAUUCUGAACAUGUUAUCCCAGAUGCAAGUGAGUAGUCUUAAAGAAAUUGCAGUUAUGUUUAUGGUGGAUUUGGGUGAGAGGGAUGAGAAAUAGUUGAAAGAGUUGGCUGGUGCAAUAACUGUAUUAAGAUGCUCUAUGAAGAUGAAAAUAGAGUUUCUUUCAUCUUUUGAAUGAACUUUUUGAUGUAUGUUUUGUUCCAAUAAAUUUGCAUGUUUUGUUAUGUAAUGGACUUUGUAUUUCGCAAA